GAUGAACGCUGGCGGCGUGCCUAAUACAUGCAAGUCGAGCGAACGGACGAGAAGCUUGCUUCUCUGAUGUUAGCGGCGGACGGGUGAGUAACACGUGGAUAACCUACCUAUAAGACUGGGAUAACUUCGGGAAACCGGAGCUAAUACCGGAUAAUAUUUUGAACCGCAUGGUUCAAAAGUGAAAGACGGUCUUGCUGUCACUUAUAGAUGGAUCCGCGCUGCAUUAGCUAGUUGGUAAGGUAACGGCUUACCAAGGCAACGAUGCAUAGCCGACCUGAGAGGGUGAUCGGCCACACGAGAACGGAGACGCGGUCCAGACUCCUACGGUAGGCAGCAGUAGGGAAUGUUCCGCAAUGGGCGAAAGCCUGACGGAGCAACGCCGCGUGAGUGAUGGAGGUCUUCGGAUCGUAAAACUCUGUUAUUAGGGAAGAACAUAUGUGUAAGUAACUGUGCACAUCUUGACGGUACCUAAUCAGAAAGCCACGGCUAACUACGUG
rnacentral:rRNA from 1 species